GACAGGGGUCUCGAGCGUUAAUCGGAAUCACUGGGCUUAAAGGGAGCGUAGGCUGGCCAGCAAGUGCCUUGUGAAAGCCCCCGGCUCAACCGGGGAACUGCGGGGCAUACUGCUGGUCUUGAGGCAUGUAGGGGCGGGCAGAACAGUAGGUGGAGCGGUGAAAUGCGUAGAGCUCGGGAAGAACAUCGGUGGCGAAAGCGCUCUACUGGACUGCAACUGACACUCAGGGACGAAAGCUAGGGGAGCGAAUGGG
rnacentral:rRNA from 1 species